AAUCUACUAAUGAUUUAAGUAAUUCAUACCGGCUGUGGGCAACAGCUCAACCGAUUCCUUGAAAAGAUCCGACUCGGAAGAAUGAUCCGUUCACGGAUCCGUCAUAGCUUGUUCUGACGUAGAUGUUUGCGGUCAUUGGCGCCAGUGGCGCGUGGAGGGGUUUGAAAUCACAUAAGGUCUGUCAGAGUCUGUUAUUUAAUUUUCAAUUGUCGUUUUAUUUGAAACUGUAGAUCAUCGCUAUCACUUUAAGUCUACAAAUAGUUACUUUAUUUUUAUGUUAUAUUUGAGUCGCUCAAUAACUAGUUGUGAAACAUAGAGACCAAAUAGACGUACUAAAAUAAAGGAAACAGGAGACGGAUACUUCUUUCAUGGUAAGUUUAUUCACCUUAGCAUACAGUAUGUCCUCUCCUUUAACUUCAUUCAUGCUCUCAAUGACAAAUAAUUUGAGUUCAACAGAAAUCCAAAGAAUAUCCACAGAGUUGCCAAGCCCUAGUGAAUUCAUCUCCUCAAAAUCAGCUGUGACAAUCUCUAGUUUAGUUCUCCUUAUUUGGCGGACAUUCUGGAAGGAAGUACAGUUGAACAGAAAAAGUUCAACCUCUGCUUUAAUUUUGAAAUGUGUCAUUUUCCAUCUGGUCUGUGUCUGAUUAUCAACACUGUUAUCAAAGUGAUUCUUUACCAGGUUAUAACAUGCUGGAAAGAUUCCCAUUGUUGUUUUCACUGUUAACAUUGCCAAUGAAAGGGAACAAUAACAUAGGACCAAUAGCACCACACUCUUUAAAGCAGAUUUAUUGAACAGAGGUUGUGCAACAGACAUAACUGAGGUACAUGAUAUGGUUAUAGUGGAGGGAGGAGGGCUCUUCGCAAUGUUGUUGCUUAUUUGAUAUUUACAGGUUUAUUUCCACAGAUAUGGACCAUGUACAUAAGACAAAGUCAAACGUUCACCUCCUCCGUCUACUAUUUCUGAAGUCCAGGUGUAAGCCUCGUUCCCGAAAAAACUGUUGUGAGUUGUGCGAGGUAAUGGAAAAGUCUUUUAUGUCCAGUAAACCUGAGGUAUAGAGAUACCACACUUACAGAAUGUGACAGAGAAAGAAGAGGAGGAAAAAAGAUUAAAAGGUAAAGAAACAUGCCUUAAUAAGAGCACACUGUACAAAGAGCAUUUCCAGUCAAAUACUCAAUUCAUGUUCUUCUUUUACCCUCUACUUCUGUAUUCUCAAAGUAUUCUGUAAGCAGUAAAAUAAUUAUAAUACAAUUGUUUAUAAAAUAGCAGCACACUGAUGUGA